ensembl:piRNA 21ur-4581 ncRNA
UACGCCAUAAAAAGUAACAUA